GGUUCUGUAGUGUAGUGGUAAUCUUAUCUGUUUUACAUGUAGAAGGUCCUGGGUUCGAACCAAAUGCAACUU